AUUAGGUUACAGCAUGGUAUUCCUGGGAGCAACAAUGAAAAUGUAUCUUUCAUUCAGAAUUAUUACAGUUCGAACACUGCAAUUGUUCUGUUCCUGUGUAAGACACAGUCUAGAAUGGGCUGCUCAAAAACUGUUAUUGAAUAAUAAAGAAAACAAGAUGGAUUAGAGCAUGCACCAGUACAGCUCAAUGGAGUUCUUUUAGGUAUUUGCCCCAGUGGAUCACAAUCCAGAUUGCAACAGCAGGACCAAAAGCACUGCAGAUCUGUAGGUUACAAGAUUUUAAAAUAGGAGGUUCCAUACAGAAACAAUUUUUAAAGGCUGAAGCUUAAAAUGGAACUUGCAUUCAUAACUCAGGGGACAAUGCCCCAAAACUAAACCAACUGUUUUCAACAAUAACUCCACAAAUUCUUAGACACCACCACUGAUGCUCAGGGACUGACAUUCAGUUAGAUGAAAUAAUUCUCUGCAUGCUCACAGUUCAACACAAAAACUGCUUGUUUGUAUACACACGUAAGUUGUCUCUUCUAGUGAAUUCCCCGUAAAAUUCUUUUUUUCCCUCAAUUAUUCGUUAAUCGCAGCUGUGCUGAAGGGCUCUUGUUUGAAAGUAAAGGGGGAUAUUUUCCUUCAGAUCAUUGACCUGUGUGAACCUGGAAUUUGUGAAUGUGUUUUAUUCAUAAUAAAUGAUAUC